rnacentral:rRNA from 1 species
UACGUAGGGGGCAAGCGUUGUCCGGAAUCAUUGGGCGUAAAGAGCGUGUAGGCGGCCCGGUAAGUCCGCUGUGAAAGUCCAGGGCUCAACCCUGGGAUGCCGGUGGAUACUGUCGGGCUCGAGUCCGGAAGAGGAGUGUGGAAUUCCUGGUGUAGCGGUGAAAUGCGCAGAUAUCGAGGAGGAACACCAAUGGCGAAGGCAGCACUCUGGGACGUGACUGACGCUGAGACGCGAAAGCGUGGGGAGCAAACAGG